AGGGCACCACCAGGAGUGGAGCCUGCGGCUUAAUUUGACUCAACACGGGGAAACUUACCCGGCCUGGACACUGGAAGGAUUGACAGAUUGAGAGCUCUUUCUUGAUUCAGUGGGUGGUGGUGCAUGGCCGUUCUUAGUUGGUGGAGCGAUUUGUCUGGUUAGUUCCGAUAACGAACGAGACUCUAGCCUAUUAAAUAGGCUCUCGGCUUUUAAACGCCGGGAGGACUUCUUAGAGGGACAGGUGGCGGUUCAGCCGCACGAAAGAGAGCAAUAACAGGUCUGUGAUGCCCUUUGUUGUUCGGGGCCGCACGCGCGCUACACUGAAGAGAUCAGCGUGCUUUACGUUCCUGCUCCGACCGGAGUGGGGAACCCAGUGAACCUUCUUCGUGAUUGGGAUAGAAGAUUGUAAUUAUUCUUCUUGAACGAGGAAUUCCCAGUAAAUGCGAGUCAUAAGCUCGCGUUGAUUACGUCCCUGCCCUUUGUACACACCGCCCGUCGCUACUACCGAUUGAACGAUUU
rnacentral:rRNA from 1 species